AGUGGAAUUGCUGGGUCAUAUGGUAACUUUAUGUUUAACUUUUUAAGAAACUGCCAAACUAUUUUCCAAAGUGGCUGUACCAUUCUAAAUUCUCACUAGCAAU
rnacentral:pre_miRNA from 1 species